rnacentral:rRNA from 2 species
GCAGUCGAACGAGUUCUGGUUAAGAGUAGAGGUGCUUGCACUGAAACGAUUAACAAUGGAACGAGUGGCGGACGGGUGAGUAACACGUGGGUAACCUACCCUAUAGCGGGGGAUAACAUUUGGAAACAGAUGCUAAUACCGCAUAACAACGAUAAUCACAUGAUUAACGUUUGAAAGAUGGCGUAAGCUAUCACUAAAGGAUGGACCUGCGGCGUAUUAGUUAGUUGGUAAGGUAACGGCUUACCAAGACGAUGAUACGUAGCCGACUUGAGAGAGUGAUCGGCCACAUUGGGACUGAGACACGGCCCAAACUCCUACGGGAGGCAGCAGUAGGGAAUCUUCCACAAUGGACGAAAGUCUGAUGGAGCAACGCCGCGUGAGUGAAGAAGGGUUUCGGCUCGUAAAACUCUGUUAUUGGAGAAGAAGGAUGAGGUAAGUAACUGUACUUCAUUUGACGGUACCCAACCAGAAAGUCACGGCUAACUACGUGCCAGCAGCCGCGGUAAUACGUAGGUGGCGAGCGUUAUCCGGAAUUAUUGGGCGUAAAGCGAGUGCAGGCGGUUGUAUAAGUCUGAUGUGAAAGCCCUCGGCUCAACCGAGGAAUUGCAUCAGAAACUGUAUAACUUGAGUGCAGAAGAGGAGAGUGGAACUCCAUGUGUAGCGGUGGAAUGCGUAG